rnacentral:rRNA from 1 species
UGGGGAAUAUUGCACAAUGGGGGAAACCCUGAUGCAGCGACGCCGCGUGAAGGAAGAAGUAUUUCGGUAUGUAAACUUCUAUCAGCAGGGAAGAUAAUGACGGUACCUGACUAAGAAGCCCCGGCUAACUACGUGCCAGCAGCCGCGGUAAUACGUAGGGGGCAAGCGUUAUCCGGAUUUACUGGGUGUAAAGGGAGCGUAGGCGGUAUGGUAAGUCAGAUGUGAAAGGCCGGGGCUCAACCCCGGGACUGCAUUUGAAACUGCCAGACUAGAUUGCAGGAGAGGUAAGUGGAAUUCCUAGUGUAGCGGUGAAAUGCGUAGAUAUUAGGAGGAACACCAGUGGCGAAGGCGGCUUACUGGACUGUAAAUGACGCUGAGGCUCGAAAGCGUGGGGAGCAAACAGGAUUAGAUACCCCCGUAGUCC